AAACCAUGCAUCGAGUAUUUACGCAACAAAUCCUUGAAAUGCUCCUAAGAUUCAUAAAAGUUCUAAUCCCCUAUUUGUUUGAAUGAUGAAAGGUUAUUCCUCAAUUU